GGUAGCAAUACUAGGUUGAGCCAGUGGCGAACGGGUGCGUAACACGUGAGUCAUCUGCCGGAAAGUGGGGGAUAGCUCGCCGAAAGGCGAAUUAAUACCGCAUGUGCCCCGAAGCAAUUCGGGGUAAAGCCGGGGCAACCUGGCGCUUUUAGAUGAGCUCGCGGCCUAUCAGCUUGUUGGUAAGGUAACGGCUUACCAAGGCUUCGACGGGUAGCUGGUCUGAGAGGACGACCAGCCACACUGGAACUGAGACACGGUCCAGACACCUACGGGUGGCAGCAGUCGAGAAUUUUUCUCAAUGGGGGAAACCCUGAAGGAGCGACGCCGCGUGGAGGAUGAAGGCUUUCGGGUUGUAAACUCCUGUCAUUUGGGAACAAUACCUUACGUUAACUGCGUGGAGGUUUGAUAGUACCAGAAGAGGAAGAGACGGCUAACUCUGUGCCAGCAGCCGCGGUAAUACAGAGGUCUCGAGCGUUGUUCGGAUUCAUUGGGCGUAAAGGGCGCGUAGGCUGCGGGGCAAGUCGGGUGUGAAAUCUCAGAGCUCAACUCUGAAACUGCACUCGAUACUGCUUUGCUAGAGGACUGGAGAGGAGAUUGGAAUUCACGGUGUAGCA
rnacentral:rRNA from 1 species